AAACUUUCAACAACGGAUCUCUUGGUUCCGGCAUCGAUGAAGAACGCAGCGAAAUGCGAUAAGUAAUGUGAAUUGCAGAAUUCCGUGAAUCAUCGAAUCUUUGAACGCACAUUGCGCCCCCUGGCAUUCCGGGGGGCAUGCCUGUUCGAGCGUCAUUUCAACCCCUCAAGCCCGGCUUGUGUGAUGGACGACCGUCCCCCCUCCCCAGUAACCACCCACCGCUUAGGGGGGUGGGAGGGAGGGGGACGCGCCCGAAA
rnacentral:rRNA from 1 species